rnacentral:rRNA from 1 species
AUUGAACGCUGGCGGCAGGCCUAACACAUGCAAGUCGAGCGAGCGGCGGACGGGUGAGUAAUGUCUGGGAAACUGCCUGAUGGAGGGGGAUAACUACUGGAAACGGUAGCUAAUACCGCAUACCAUCAGAUGUGCCCAGAUGGGAUUAGCUAGUGGGUGGGGUAACGGCUCACCUAGGCGACGAUCCCUACCUGGUCUGAGAGGAUGACCAGCCACACUGGAACUGAGACACGGUCCAGACUCCUACGGGAGGCAGCAGUGGGGAAUAUUGCACAAUGGGCGCAAGCCUGAUGCAGCCAUGCCGCGUGUGUGAAGAAGGCCUUCGGGUUGUAAAGCACUUUCAGCGGGGAGGCGUUAGCCGAAGAAGAAGCACCGGCUAACUCCGUGCCAGCAGGCGCGGGAAGUG